UGAAUUAAAAUUUUUAAACAAAAAAUGUUUUAUUCUUGCUAUAUAUUUUAUUAUAAAAUUUUUUUACAUGUAAAAAUUUAUUUGAGUAUAAAUUUUAUUUUAAAUAAAAAAAAUUUUUAUUUUAUUAACAGUAAUUAAUAUUAUUAUUUAAUUUUUAUUAGAUAUAGAAAUUUUUAUAAAUUUUGGUUAAAUUUGUGCCAGCAUCCGCGGUUAUACAAAUAAAAUAAUUAAAAUUUUUUAGUAUAAGUUAAAAAGAAUUAAAUUAUAAAAAUAAAUAAUAAAAUUUAAAGUGAAAUUUUUAUUUUAUUAAUAUUUUUGUUUUGUUUUAAUUUGAAACUUUUAAAUUAAUUAUAAAAACUAGGAUUAGAUACCCUAUUAUUUUUAAUUUUAAAAUUAAUAUUUUAUAAAUAUUUAUAAAAUAUGAAAUAUUUGAGUAGUAAAAGAUAAUUUCUUAAAACUUAAAGAAUUUGGCGGUGUUUUAAUCUUUUUAGAGGAAUUUGUUCUAUAAUCGAUAAUCCUCGAUUAACUUACUUAAAUUUGUUUUCAAUUUGUAUAUCGUUGUCAUCAGAUUAUUUUAAAAGAAUUUAAAUUUUCAUAAAUUAUAAAUAUUUAAAAUGUCAGAUCAAGGUACAAUUUAUGUUUAAGAAGAAAUGAAUUACAAUAAAUAUAUUUAAACGAAUAAAUUUUUUUAAAAAUUUUUAGAAGGUGGAUUUAAACGUAAAUUAAUUUUUAUAAAGAUUAAUUGAUUUAAGCUCUAAAACAUGCACAUAUCGCCCGUCGCUCUCGUUUAUUUAAAUGAGAUAAGUCGUAACAUAGUAGUUGUACUGGAAAGUGUAACUAGAAUUAU
rnacentral:ncRNA from 1 species